GAUGAACGCUGGCGGCGUGCCUAAUACAUGCAAGUCGAGCGAACAGACGAGGAGCUUGCUCCUCUGACGUUAGCGGCGGACGGGUGAGUAACACGUGGAUAACCUACCUAUAAGACUGGGAUAACUUCGGGAAACCGGAGCUAAUACCGGAUAAUAUAUUGAACCGCAUGGUUCAAUAGUGAAAGACGGUUUUGCUGUCACUUAUAGAUGGAUCCGCGCCGCAUUAGCUAGUUGGUAAGGUAACGGCUUACCAAGGCAACGAUGCGUAGCCGACCUGAGAGGGUGAUCGGCCACACUGGAACUGAGACACGGUCCAGACUCCUACGGGAGGCAGCAGCAGGGAAUCUUCCGCAAUGGGCGAAAGCCUGACGGAGCAACGCCGCGUGAGUGAUGAAGGUCUUCGGAUCGUAAAACUCUGUUAUUAGGGAAGAACAAAUGUGUAAGUAACUAUGCACGUCUUGACGGUACCUAAUCAGAAAGCCACGGCUACUACGUG
rnacentral:rRNA from 1 species